rnacentral:lncRNA from 10 species
CAGCCUCAACCUCCCAGGCUCAAGUGAUUCUCCUGCCUCAGCCUCCGGAGUAGCUGGGACUACCAGUGCACCCCAAUGCACCCAGCUAAUUAAAAAACAUUUUAAUUUUUUUUUUAGAGUUGGAGGUCUUGCUAUGUUGCCCAAGCUGGUCUCGAACUCCUGGGCUCAAGUAAUCCUCCCACUUUGGUUCCUCAAAGGGCUGGGAUUACAGAUGUGAGCCACUGCGCCUGACGAGUCGGGGCCUUAAAGCAGAGAUUUUCCGGCUGGAGUCAAAACAUCAAAGAUCUGACUUCUGAGAACUCUUACAGACCUUCAGGCAUCCAUCAUAUUUGGCUCUCUGAGCAGUAUUGGACCCUUCAUGAUGACCUUCUCCAUCUGGAUGGGACAGAACAAAGUGGAUUCGCUUGAGCUAGGGCAGGGCAGGAAACGCCACCAGCUCUCUCUGGGAACACAGCAAGCAGGGAACUUCUGGCGGAGAGUGAACGGUGCCACCCCAGGAGCAGAACCAACACUUCCGUCCGCAGGGACUGGGAGGGACCCUUCCCAUCUUCAGAGAUCUCCUGAUCCCCCUGAGACCCCCGGGUUCCAGGAGGAGCAUGUUUCAUGAGGACAGUCCUUCUCAAGACAGGGUGACUGGUUGCUCCCCUCCCACUGAGGGUGUCACAGCUGGUCCCUCUGUUUCCCUUGGCUGAGAGGGGAAAUAGCCAACAUCUGUCGUUUGCAUAAUGUGUGUGCUUUUGCCACUUAGAAUUCUCUGUUUCUAUAAACAAAUGCUUUUACAAUAAAACUGAAAUGCCAGAAAAAGAGACAACCUACUUUAAGGUCACCACUGCCUCCCAGCAAGGACGUUUAAAAAUAACCCCCGAUCUGCCCUGUGCUCACAACUCUCAUUGCGCCAGCUCAAUGGCAGGCCCAGUGCCACCAGGACAGCUAUGUGGAAGGUUCCGGGUGGGGCACGGGUGUGUGUUAUGGAGGAGGUGAGGGAGGCUGUUCUCAUAACAAUGCUGGCAUCUGGUCUGUGGGUCCACCCUGCCGAUGUCUGUGAAAGGGCAUGUGGUUGGCCCCUGUUAGACCAGUUCUGAUGCCAGUUUCCAGCUAAAGUGAAACUGCUCCAGACCUGAGUGGGAAGUGCACUGUGAGAAGUCAGGUUCACCUGGAGGGUAUGGAUGCCAGGGUGUGGCAUUGGGUGGACAUCAAGCACAUCCCUCAGGGAGUCCUGGGGCUAUUACCUCUAGAAGCUGCUCCAGCAACUCUGCCAGACAGGAUCAUAAACUUUUGCAGCUAAAUCUUGGGGAUGAACUUUUUCAGUAAUUGUCAAGCUGUGCCCCACAGAUUGCUGGUGAUUCUGGGGCAGUGAUAUGGUUUGGCUCUGUGUCCCCACCUGAAUCUCAUGUUGAAUUGUAAUUCCCAAUGUUGUGGGUGGCAGCGGGGGAACCUGGUGGGAGGUCAUGAAUCGUGGGGGCAGUUUUCCACCUUGCUGUUCUCGUGAUGGUGAGUGAGUUAUCACAAGAUCUGAUGGUUUAAAAGUGUGUAGCAUUUCCCCUUCUGCUCUCUUUCUCUCCUGCCACCACGUGAAUACGUGCUUGCUUCCCCUUUGGAUUCCACCAUGAUUGUAAGUUUUCUGAGACCUCCCAGCCAUGCUUCCUGUACAGCCUGUGGAACUACCCUUGCCUAGCUGCGAUAACAAGCCCAGGACAACCUGCUGGGUGAAAUACUUGGGACACAGUUAUAUCGCAGUGCCCCAGCCAGCAGCGAAGCAACCACUGUCAUGCAAGUGAGCUCAUCCUAGACCAACUGGCCUGCCCCAUCCCACCUGCCUGCCAACCAAAGAAGCUUGAGGGAGCCCAGCCAAGGACCCACUGAAGCACGACUGCCAUGGCUGGGCCCCUCUUGCCCGACCUAAGAGGAUGAUUGCACUGGACUGUCCUGUAGAAACGCAGAUAAACAUGAUUCUUGUUCUGAAGAGCUAGACUGCGGGAGCUUUCCAAGUCUGGGAAAUCACAUCUGCUACACUCGCAGGACUAUAAACCUGAGCUGUUUGCAUCUAUAUUGGUAGCAGGCAAGUUCUGCUCAGGCCCUGCCCAGCCAACUUCAGCACAGUGAUAUUUAUCAGGGCCAGGCAGAAGGGUUCUCAGAAAGCCACCACCCUGGAGUCAGAUGUUCCAUAAGACCUCAGAGAGGACUGCCUACACGCAUCUAGGUUGGAAGCGGCAGUCGUGCGAGGCAUGGGAUGUUUUCUGAAGGGACUCAAGAAACACUUUUGAUCUCAGGGAAGGUGGUGGAUAAAGGAAAUUACAUUAACUGUUUGACUUGAGUGUGUGGUGGCCAAGUAGGCUCAUGUCAUUAAAGCCAUCCUUCAGUGGGUGCCUUGUUUAUUGAUAU